CAUUAAGAAGCUAUAGGUCCAGCGACAGCCUUUUAAGCUGUAGAUAGGAGACUCCACCCACCCUUAAUGG
rnacentral:tRNA from 1 species